rnacentral:lncRNA from 1 species
CAGGUUUGAGCCACCGCAUCUGGCCUGCAGUGAAGCUUUCUAAGUCUAUCUUUUCCUUUCUCCUUUCCUUCCUCGUGUCCCAAAGGCAGGAAUAUGCCCCUCCUCUUGAAGUUCCUCUGAUUGUCCAGUCCUCCACGGAAAAUCUUAUUAUUUGUUUAUCAGACCAGAAGCAAAAUAAAUGCCCUUGAAAGGUGACAAGCAACAGCGUGAGGAGGACCUCGCUUGCCCAGGCAGCUUCCUCCAAUCCCACCCUUGCCCCACACCAGAACAGAGGAUAAUUUCAGCACCCGUGCCUGGGAAGACACCCAAAAUGAGUGUCUGUAGUUUGUCCCCUCUUUGAAAGAAUGCAGGGCUUGAGAAGGCUCACUUUCCCUGCAGGCCUCUGUCUGGUGCCAGAUGUAGGCUCUGUGAAAAGAAGCACAGCUAUAACCGGGAGCCUUAAAAUAGUCAAAGUUUCUAUAACAGAAAUUAUUAGUGGUGUAGGGGAGCAAAAACAGGCAAAAGAAUAGCUGCUUUGAGCUUCAGGCUUUC